GGGCGGUAAACUACUCAUCACGAGCACGUUGUUGAGGACACUGUAAACUUCGACCUACAUAUUGCGAAAUAAGGGCUGUUUGGGACAUUGUAAAAUCGAAUAAGGAACAAGAAAUCCCCCCUCGCUCAAGGAUGAGCAGGACGCGUGCAUCUCUCUGGGGGCUUGUGACUGACUCAAGGGGCUUGUUGUUCUCAGCUGGCCGAGGCAUGGGGAGGAGAAGAGCAGUGGAGGAAGUAAAUUACAUAGGGAGGGCUGGAAAAGUCUCUGUUCUUGUCGCAUUACUGCGGCCGGCGUCAAGGGCACCGCAGCCGUGGUUUGAGUCACUGCGCUCGGAGCUCCACACGGCCUUUGUUCCCUGCAGCCAAUGAUCAACAUUCUCUCUGUUUCAGUGACUCACAGUGAUAGUCAGCAAACCCUCCCCUAGUCUUCAUCAUGUCCCAUGACAGCAUCACAAGCCACUAGAGAGGAUGGAAAAGUAUGCAAUGUCUCCGUGAAAACGCACCUUCGGUUUUAGAUUGUUGUGUACGGUGGAAUAAAUGAAAGGCACCGUGUACUUACAAAGAGAAAAUUCCUGAAGCAACAUGAAUUUAAAGUGAUACUAAAUGCUUUUUUUUUUUUUGCUGUAUAUAGAACUUGUUUUAAGAACUGUUUUAUCCAUGCCUUUAAAGAAUAUGGGGUCCAAAACAACAUUGAAUCCCAUCUAUUAUCAAUGUAUAAAUAUAAAAUAUUUCAAAACAUAUUCCACAAAAGCAAGACACUCUUGUCUGGAAUGACAUGAAAAAUUAUGAAAAGUUCUUUUUGGGUGAACUGUCACUUUAAUUGUCCUUCUCAAGUGAUGGCGCAUGGCUUAUAGCUAUUCUGGUUACUAGCGCUGACCUUUAGCCAUUACACCAUUGCAACCAGGAACUUGAACUGGAAUCUAAUGAAUAAAAUGAAUUCAUAACUCAUUUUACUUCUGUAAUGCAACACAUUUCUUAAUGAACCAAGAGAAAUAUGUAGCUUGGGACUAAAUUAUAUCCUGUUGUAAGUGAGAAACAAGUUAUGUCAUUUAACAAAUGUUUACAAAGUCACUUUUAAUUUGUACAUAAUUUGAGUAAAUAAUGUGCA